UGCGGGAAUGGCGGAAUUGGCAGACGCGCCAGGUUGAGGGCCUGGUCGGGGCAACCCGGUGGAGGUUCGAGUCCUCUUUCCCGCAUC
rnacentral:tRNA from 1 species